GGUCCAGACUCCUACGGGAGGCAGCAGUGAGGAAUAUUGGUCAAUGGGCGCGAGCCUGAACCAGCCAAGUCGCGUGAGGGAAGACGGUCCUAUGGAUUGUAAACCUCUUUUGUCGGGGAGCAAAAGACGCCACGUGUGGCGUUCCGAGAGUACCCGGAGAAAAAGCAUCGGCUAACUCCGUGCCAGCAGCCGCGGUAAUACGGAGGAUGCGAGCGUUAUCCGGAUUUAUUGGGUUUAAAGGGUGCGUAGGCGGAUCGUUAAGUCAGUGGUCAAAUUGAGGGGCUCAACCCCUUCCUGCCAUUGAAACUGGCGUUCUUGAGUGGAAGAGAAGUAUGCGGAAUGCGUGGUGUAGCGGUGAAAUGCGUAGAUAUCACGCAGAACCCCGAUUGCGAAGGCAGCAUGCCGGCUUCCGACUGACGCUGAAGCACGAAAGUGUGGGGAUCGAACAGGAUUAGAUACCCCUGUAC
rnacentral:rRNA from 1 species